rnacentral:lncRNA from 1 species
CCCUAAAAGAUUUAGAUGCACUAUUGUAAAGUGGUUGUUCCACUGGAUAUCAUAAGGUGAAUGCACCAUUUUGUAAGUCGCUCUGGAUAAGAGCGUCUGCUAAAUGACUUAAAUGUAAAUGUAAUAAUUUUUACUUGCUGUGGUCAAAAAAAGCAACCAUUACAAAACCUACUUAUCAGGGCAAAAUUAGAAUUUGGAAACUUACAGAUCAUGUGCCAUGGUGAAACAACUUUGAUUAGCUUCAACUCCAGCGCCACAGUCUUCACCCUCUCAAACUUCUGGCAGGCUAGACAGGGUACUGAACUUUUUGCAAAAAGUGACAAAUUGAAACAUCAGAAGCAUAGGUUGAUUUUGGCAAUCACUUCACUCCGAAAUGGCCAGCAUGCAUCUUGGUCAGCAUGGCCUCCUCCUCCUUAGUAAAAAUCACCCUCCUGUGUGGCUGGCCAUCCUUUCCCAGUAGGUAGAUAUGAUUGCCUAACAAAUUGGAAGAAGACUUGUUGAAAUACUCAAGUCUAAGUACAUUUGCACUGCCGUCUUUUGCUCUGUCUGUCACUCUCUUACUUUCAUCCUCCCCUGUGUCUGUCUAGCAAAGACACCUAGUUAAGGGCAUUUGUAAUUACCAUAAUUGCUUACAGCUAUCCAUUUGAUUGAUCAGGUUUAACUUAUAGCUAGACACCUCAAUAUGACAGACAUAUAAAUAUAUCAGUGGAGGCUGCUGAGGGAAGGACAGCUCAUAAUAAUGUCUGGAAUGGAGUCAAUUGUAUGGCAUCAACCACAUGGAAACCACGCGUUUGAUACCAUUCCAUUUAAUCCAUAUUACGAGCCAUCUCCUCAGCAGCCUCCGCUCCACUAAACUAAAUGUAUAGCUAGCAACUAGCUAACGUUAGAUUGAAAAUGGUUGUUGAAAAAUGGUUGUACAUAGCUAAAUCCGUCCAGUUAUCUAAUUGAAGUUAACUGCUUAACGUUACCCUGAAUUGUGAAUUUCUCUGAAUGUUGCACCUCUUGUCGAGAUCAUAGUACUUCGCCUGGUUAGAAAGAUAAAAGAAAAUAUCCUCGAGGGAUGCCGUUGAAGUGCAAGCUAACGUUACAUACAAACAGAAAGCUGUAAUAACAGUUACAGUAGCUUGCUUGCUUGCUUGUUAGCUAAAUAAAACUGUCAGGCUGGCUAACGUUACUGUAGCUGACUAGGCAGGCUGAGAUAUAUAAGUACAGUAACGUUAGUUAGUAACGUCAGUCUAAAAACAGCUUAAAUUAUUUAUUCCUAUUUGUACUUGUAUAAAGACAAAUAUAUUGUAGCGACCCGCACAGACAGCUGUGGGUUAUCUGUUAGGCUAUUAGUGGGUUGUGUUGUACUUACCAGUGUUCGCGGGGUCAUGCCAAUCAACCUGCUAUCUGCCAAUCACGGGAAUGCCUGGAAUGUUCUGAUACCGGGCAGCCUGGUGGUUGGCGGAGGGGGGUUGGGCAGGGGGAUAGAGCAUUGGAAGUUAAAACCGGGUUUAGCCAUUGUUCUCUCUCUUACGUCUGGGCUUCACAAGAGAAGGUCACGUUUGGUUUGUAGGGUGCCUUUCAUUUAUUUGGCGUGGGCUACGGCCAAACAGUAGCCUGUGUUAAGUUGGGUUAAUAAACCGUCAGUUUGUUAACUCAAUCAUCUGUCUGGACAAUUGUUCCUUUAUGAUCUAGUCAGGUCAUUACAAUAUGGUAAAGAAAGUGUUCUCUUUCCAGUCUUUUCGGUCUGAAGCAGCAGGUAGUCAGCAGGUUGUCAUCGUUAAAAACACCGUCCUUGGAGAGAAAUUCUGAGGUAAUAAUUUUGCUCGGACUGAGCGAGCGAUUUUGCGGUGAAAUAGAACUAGAACUGUCUGCAUCCUCCUUCCUUCGCGACCGCUACGAGGUAAAAUAGAGCUAAGCAACCAGCAUAGCAACGGACGCUUUGGUUCAUUACGUAAUCCGGCC